rnacentral:tRNA from 6 species
GUUAGGGUGGCAGAGCCCGGUAAUUGCGUAAAACUUAAAUCUUUAUUUACCAGAGGUUCAAAUCCUCUCCCUAACA